CGUGCGGCACGAAAUCGACAAACAUUUGGCAAUUGUGCCAGUGACAGACAUAAAGAACUUCAAGCCUGACGACGACUUUUCGGCGGCUUUUUAUAUGGUUAAGUGGACGGACGCGGCCGGCACGUGUGCCCACUACCUUGCCAGAAUUUUGCAGAUCGGAGGUUGUGGCGCGACUAGACCGGAAAGGGACCAUGAACAGUAUCCCGCAUUGCAUUUUUCUUAGUAAUAAAGCUUUAAAUCCUA
rnacentral:lncRNA from 1 species